AUUGAACGCUGGCGGCAUGCUUUACACAUGCAAGUCGAACGGCAACGCGGGCUUCGUCCUGGCGGUGCUUGCCGAAGGGGUGAGUAAUACAUCUGAACGUGCCCCGUCGCGGGGGAUAGCUCGGCGAAAGCCGAAUUAAUACCGCAUCCGACCUCCGGGUGAAAGCGGGGGAUCUUCGGACCUCGCCCUCUUGCAGCGGGCGAUGGCAGAUUAGCUAGUUGUUGGGGUAAAGGCCUACCAAGGCGACGAUCUGUAGCUGGUCUGAGAGGAAGACCAGCCACACUGGGACUGAGACACGGCCCAGACUCCUACGGGAGGCAGCAGUGGGGAAUAUUGGACAAUGGGCGAAAGCCUGAUCCAGCAAUGCCGCGUGUGUGAUGAAGGCCUUCGGGUUGUAAAGCACUUUUAGCGGGAAGGAAGAGGACUGUGUCAAUACCACGGUUCGAUGACGGUACCCGCAGAAGAAGCACCGGCUAACUACGUG
rnacentral:rRNA from 1 species